rnacentral:misc_RNA from 1 species
GUGAAUCAUCAAAUUUUUGAACGCAAAUUGCACUCUCUUCGAAGAGGAUGCGUGUUUGAGUUUGAGGGUUAAUAAAAUUCGGUAUGUUGCUUCUUUGUUACGCUCCGGAGUUUGGGUCAUCGUAAUAACCUGUAGGUUUUAAGAGGCUUAAAAUUGACGUUUUUUGCGCUUUUUAGAUGUACAUAAAUUCUUUUGUUUAUUCGUCUGACUUAAUUCUAGAAAGCCUAUUAAAUGCGACUAUGUCGUGG